rnacentral:rRNA from 1 species
UACGGGGGGGGCAAGCGUUGUUCGGAAUUACUGGGCGUAAAGGGCUCGUAGGCGGCCAACUAAGUCAUACGUGAAAUCCCUCGGCUUAACCGGGGAACUGCGUCUGAUACUGGAUGGCUUGAGUUCGGGAGAGGGAUGCGGAAUUCCAGGUGUAGCGGUGAAAUGCGUAGAUACAAUCAAGAACACCGAUUGCGUAGGCAGCUUACUAGGCUGUAACUGACGCUGAGGCACGAAAGCGUGGGGAGCGAACAGG